AAAUAUUAUUGUAUUGAGUAUUUUAUGUAGUUGGCAGCCCGCAACUACAUGUUAUUGGAUAUAUUACUUUUUUUCUGUGUAGAUUUAUUCUUUUCUUCUUAAUCAAUAAUAAAAAUUUUAGCUCUAAAAUCAACUCUAAAGAAGAAAGUCACAAAAAAUUUAGCUUAUAAUAAUUUAUGCAACAGAAAUGACCUUAUUUAGCAGCAAUUUUAGAUAAAUAAGUUUUUAACAAUUAAACGAAUCUAAAUAAAUCUUUAUGUAAGAAUAUCUAUUCGAGUUUUAGUAUUAUAUGUAAAAAAUUUGAUUUAAUUUGUAAUGCUACUUAUCAAAUUUACAAAUAAGUUUCUGUAAGAUAUUAUUUUAUAUAAAGAAAUCGAAAACAAACCAAAACUUAAAUAAUUUUACACAAAUACUCUAAUGUAAUAAUAGAACAAUCUAUAAAAUUUAAAAAUUGUUGGUAAGUAAAUACAUACAUCCUUUUAAAACAUCCUAUAUCUUAACUCAUAUUUAUAUAAAACUAAAUCUCUAAUAAACUGAAAAGAUCAUAUCUCAAUUAUAAGUUUAUGUUUUUUAAAUGUAGUAUCUAAUAAAAAUCUAAUAAAAGUUCAUACAAUAGUUCAUAUGUUUUACAGUUUAGUCUACUAAUUGUAAAAAAUUAAAUGGUUAAUUAGUAUAAUUAAAUAUUAAAUUGAUAAAUUCUCUCAAUAACAAACUGACUUUAUUAAACGUUUAAUAAUUUAAUAUAUGUAGAUUAAUUCAGUUAUAAUUACCCUUCCAACGAACAAGAGUCUUUUGGGCACAAGCGCAAUUUUAACAAGCUCAAUUUUCAAUUUUUAUUAACAAUACACACUUGUUUUUUUCUAUUGAUUCAUACCCAUCAACGGUUUUUUGUAUGCACAAGCCUUAGCGCCAUAUAACGGUAACAUCGAUCGAACUUAGAUAUGUUCGAUUUUCACUCUUUUAGAGUAAUGUUUCACUCUAGGAAAUUUAGAGAAUACUAGAAUGCAUUUAAAACGCAAAGUUUAUUUACCAAGAAAACCGUAUAUCUCAGGUUAUUUUAUAGAUAACGUAGAACAGGUAUUGUUGGAAUACUGUAGAUCCCAGUGUGUAUUAUAAGGGUUAAAUAAAGAUUUCAACAUUUAAAUUAAACAACCAUGUAUUGAAAAGUAAUCCUAAAUUUUUCUAAAUUUCUUCCAAGUCACACAGUAAAAAAAUUCAAGCUAGACAAAAAAGGACUGAUUACCUAAAUUGGAGCAAAUAAAAAUACAAUUGCUUAUCGAGAAUUGAUCGUUUGACAUUUGUCAUAUAGAUAUUCGUGUAAAAUUGCAAAUCAUGUUUACAUGGCAUAUUUCAUUGUCAUCGGAGAUAUUAAUAUCCUAACCAUGACGGAAAGCUGCGUGCUCGGAGCGAGACAACGGAGCCGGCUAUAUCUGAGAUUCCAAGUUGGAACCGCACGUGCAAGAUUGGCGGCGAUCAAUCAGCUACGCGCGUAUCUGGCGGUGGGUAUCGGUUUACACGUGCGAGAUGCGCACGGAGUUAAUCGUGACUAUACCUUCGCCAAUUGCCAAUAACGCAACGGCCGGGUCACCGCGGCGACACGCCAGUCGCGUAAUCCCCGGCCCGUGACGCACGUGCAUCGGUGUUCGCGCACGCAUCUGUGGAAUGCGCGUUAUAUCCGCUGGAGAAGAAGACGCGUGCGCGAUAGACACAAUCGAAUCGCAUGGAUAGGGCGUAACGCCAGAGAAACGCGAGAGAAAGAAAUACCGCGAUGAGUCUCGCUGCCAAAUGUCUCGCGGCCGGCGCCGCGCUAUUAGGCAGAAUCAAAUAGGAGAGUCUGCAGAGAGGAUGUUGCGGCCAACAAGGAAAAUAAAACAGCGACUUUAUCGCUAUCAACGUGUGCAGAAGCGAGCAAAGAUAUCAUCCGCAUCUGAAAGUAUAAGAAUCACAGAGAGAAGAGAUACGCGAGGAAGAGAUCACGAUAAGAUGGGGACGACGCCACGAGCGGUCGAAUCCGCCGCCCGCGACCGCGUGGAAACGAUAUAAUAUAUAUCUCACGACGGACGAGAGAGAGAGAGAGAGAUCGUUGCCACGAUCUCCUCUACUGGAAGGAUAUAGCAGCGACGGGGGUGAAAAUCGUGCCACGUGGCCCGCGGGUACUCCAGGAAGAACAAGGGGGAGAACUCGGACUAGCAUUACUGGCCCCGGCCAUGGCGAACGUGAGUUACCUUUACUGCAUUUGCUAUUCUGCCAUUGUGCACGGUUACGAUACGGGACCGUGCAGGGGAAGCUGCUGCGAGAGAGAUCGCGUGAGUCAUACUGAGGCGAGCGAAGCUCCAUUGGCAUUGGCGUAGAACGUCUUCCCUGGACAAGGGCGUCUUGUCUUUCAUGGCGCAUCACGGCUAUUUUACACGCCUUCUUAUCAUCAAAUCGAAAUUUCCCCGAAACCGUUCUCAACGUUCUUCAGCAGAGCGAAACCUUAUUGCCAUCCUGAAGCUAUUUCGCUAAUUACAACGAUAUUAGUCAAUCUGGUGUAUUUGAUUGCUCUUAAUAACUUUCGUUUUUUUUUUUUUUUUUUUUUUUAUUAUUAUUAAGGCAAUCGUUGUUUUAUUAUUUACGCGAAUUUCUCUCGUGUAGCGGUAACAAUCUAAUUAUUUAAGAAUGGAAAACUACAAACAAUAUAUUAAAAAAUGAUAUAUAUGGAAUUGCUUCGUCACGAUUAGUGCACGUAUCGCAGAAAAAAAUGAUGCCUUCUGUAGUAGCAUGUUUUCACAAAGAUAACGCCGCUGAUUGAUCACCGAGACAGAAAAGACGCGCUAUUUGCUUUGGCUCACCGAGUACGCAGUUAUUGAUAAACGAGGUAUAGUAAUUCGAGUGACGAAUGUAUAAUGAAAACGGUAAGAAAAAUGCAAACUUAAAAAGACAUUGUUUCAAGAAACAUUUCAAGAAAGUAAAAUAUAAUUUAAAUCUCUCCUUUAUCCAUAUAUGUUAUAACUGUAUGACCUAAAAUGUAUGGAUCUUUUAUUGAAUAAAAAUUCUUGAAAUUUAGUUGGAAAAUGGGAGAAUUCACUUUUAAUGUUUCCAUCAUGUUUCCGUUGAAAAUUUAUAUAUUCAUUCUGCAAUAGUUUUAAUGAAAGUAAUAUUUCUUCACUAUAUAAAGCAAAGCUUUUACAAAAAGAGGAGUAAUAGCGAAAUGUCAAAGUAAAUUUGGGUGAAAUUAUUCCGGCAAGAGAAUAUGAGAAAACUAACUGAACUGAAUAUUCAGGGAAUUCGAGAAAGUAGUUCAGGAGGUCAAUCGAUCAGUUCUAGAUUAGUCUGAAAAAUUGUAGAGAAUCUUUUUAAAUGGUCGGAGUUAUAGCAAACACGAAAUCGUCGUUGAAGAGAAAAGAAUUUGUCGCCGACACGUGGAAUACCUACGUCACUGCGCUCGGUCAAUGCAUCAAUCCGGCCUGCAUCUGUAUGUAUUUACGCUUGCCGGAGAGGAGGGUAAGGGGGGAAGGGAUGGACAAGGGGAAACCCCUAUGUGACAUCAUCCCCCACGCGAGCGAGCGCCCGCUUCGUUUCGCUGGCUGACUUCUGUCGCCUAACUCCAAAACACCCCUGGACCCUGCCACCUCCCUUUACCUUUAAUCUUUAUCAAUCCAUCCAGCCGAGUCGCCGAAUCGAACGCA